rnacentral:tRNA from 1 species
GCCGAUGUGGCGGAAUAGGCAGACGCCCGGGACUUAAAAUCCCGUGAGGUUCACUCCUCGUACCGGUUCGACCCCGGUCAUCGGCACCA